rnacentral:lncRNA from 1 species
GCCAAACAAAAAAGGUUUUUUCAGCAUUAUCUGUUUAAAUUUUUCAACAUAUUUAUAAGCCAUUUGUUUUUCUUUUUUAAUUUUCUGUUCAAGUUCUUUACCCAUUUUAAACAUUUUUUGAUAUAUAUCUUUUUUCCAUUAAUUGAUAAGAAUUGUUUAAACAGGAAAAAUCAACAUUUUGUCACAUAUGCUACAAAUAUUUUUCAUGUGACUGAAGACUUUAAUUAUUUUACAAGUAUUAGGGGAAAUAAAGCAAGACAGAGACUUCCCUGAAGAACUCACACAUAUGCUUCAAAAGAAAGCCAGUGUUUUUGUUGCCAAUCAGUGUUGGCCUGAGGAGUAGCAGCAACCAAGGUGGGAAGUCCAUUUGCACAUGAGCUAACCUGCCAUCUUUUCUAUCAAAUCCAACCACAGACAAGGCAAGAACUUCGAGAGGUGAGAGGAAAUAAAAGAAAUGGUUUCACCCCUUGCUCUGAGGUGCUGGUGGGAAGAGAAUGUGAAGCCUCCUGCAGGAACAUGGAAGAUGGGUCCUGCGACAAGGAGGGAGAAAGUCCACUAAAAGAAAUAAGGACUCCUUGGAGAAUUGACUGAUUCCUGCUCACUACAAGUAGAAAGAAUCCCUCUAACCUCUGAAUCCUCAUGGUGCUGUACAUUCAUUUAGUGGAAAUAACAGUACCCUGCUCUAUGCCAAGGCUAUCAGGGUUAUCUCUGUCAACACCAGUGAUUUUAGAGAGAAUGACAAAUAUAGAAGAUGUGGAAGACAAGUACUGGACAUGUCCUGAUCAAGACAAAUAUUGA